rnacentral:rRNA from 1 species
UGAAGUGGAGAAGGGUUUCGUGUGAACAGUGGUUGAUCACGAGUUAGUCGGUCCUAAGUUUAAGGCGAAAGCUGUAGAAAAAUUUAAAGGUUUUCCAAUAAAUAAAAUAUACAAAAAAUAUAUAUACUUAAAGAAUUAUAUAUAAUAAAAUAUAUUAAGUAAUAUUAUUAUAUAUAUAUAUAUAUAUAUAUGUAUAUAUUACUUAAACAUAACAUUUAUAUAUAAAAAGAAAAGUAUAAAAAUUUUUUUAUUUUUAUUUUUGCGAUAAAUUAAAGUACUUUAAAUUUAAAUUAAACGAAAGGGAAUACGGUUCCAAUUCCGUAACCUGUUGAGUAUACGUUUAUAUUAAAUAUGGUCAUUAUGAUCAUCCUGGUAACAGAAACAAUCAUAGAGAAGCCGUCGAGAGGUAUUGGAAGAGUUUUCUUUUCUGUUUUAUAGUUGUACUACCAUGGAAGUCUUUCGAAGAGAGAUAUGGUAGAUGAACUAGAAGAGCAUGGCAUUUACUGCUGUGUCAAUAUUUUCUCCUCGGACCUUGAAAAUCUAUGAUUGGGCCACGUAAACUUCUCAACAGGCCGUACCGAUAUCCGCAGC